UUAAGCGACUAAGCGUACACGGUGGAUGCCCUGGCAGUCAGAGGCGAUGAAGGACGUGCUAAUCUGCGAUAAGCGUCGGUAAGGUGAUAUGAACCGUUAUAACCGGCGAUUUCCGAAUGGGGAAACCCAGUGUGAUUCGUCACACUAUCAUUAACUGAAUCCAUAGGUUAAUGAGGCGAACCGGGGGAACUGAAACAUCUAAGUACCCCGAGGAAAAGAAAUCAACCGAGAUUCCCCCAGUAGCGGCGAGCGAACGGGGACAGCCCAGAGCCUGAAUCAGUGUGUGUGUUAGUGGAAGCGUCUGGAAAGGCGUGCGAUACAGGGUGACAGCCCCGUACACAAAAAUGCACAUACUGUGAGCUCGAUGAGUAGGGCGGGACACGUGGUAUCCUGUCUGAAUAUGGGGGGACCAUCCUCCAAGGCUAAAUACUCCUGACUGACCGAUAGUGAACCAGUACCGUGAGGGAAAGGCGAAAAGAACCCCGGCGAGGGGAGUGAAAAAGAACCUGAAACCGUGUACGUACAAGCAGUGGGGGCACGCUUAGGCGUGUGACUGCGUACCUUUUGUAUAAUGGGUCAGCGACUUAUAUUCUGUAGCAAGGUUAACCGAAUAGGGGAGCCGAAGGGAAACCGAGUCUUAACUGGGCGUUAAGUUGCAGGGUAUAGACCCGAAACCCGGUGAUCUAGCCAUGGGCAGGUUGAAGGUUGGGUAACACUAACUGGAGGACCGAACCGACUAAUGUUGAAAAAUUAGCGGAUGACUUGUGGCUGGGGGUGAAAGGCCAAUCAAACCGGGAGAUAGCUGGUUCUCCCCGAAAGCUAUUUAGGUAGCGCCUCGUGAAUUCAUCUCCGGGGGUAGAGCACUGUUUCGGCAAGGGGGUCAUCCCGACUUACCAACCCGAUGCAAACUGCGAAUACCGGAGAAUGUUAUCACGGGAGACACACGGCGGGUGCUAACGUCCGUCGUGAAGAGGGAAACAACCCAGACCGCCAGCUAAGGUCCCAAAGUCAUGGUUAAGUGGGAAACGAUGUGGGAAGGCCCAGACAGCCAGGAUGUUGGCUUAGAAGCAGCCAUCAUUUUAAGAAAGCGUAAUAGCUCACUGGUCGAGUCGGCCUGCGCGGAAGAUGUAACGGGGCUAAACCAUGCACCGAAGCUGCGGCAGCGACGCUUAUGCGUUGUUGGGUAGGGGAGCGUUCUGUAAGCCUGUGAAGGUGUGCUGUGAGGUAUGCUGGAGGUAUCAGAAGUGCGAAUGCUGACAUAAGUAACGAUAAAGCGGGUGAAAAGCCCGCUCGCCGGAAGACCAAGGGUUCCUGUCCAAACGUUAAUCGGGGCAGGGUGAGUCGACCCCUAAGGCGAGGCCGAAAGGCGUAGUCGAUGGGAAACAGGUUAAUAUUCCUGUACUUGGUGUUACUGCGAAGGGGGGACGGAGAAGGCUAUGUUGGCCGGGCGACGGUUGUCCCGGUUUAAGCGUGUAGGCUGGUUUUCCAGGCAAAUCCGGAAAAUCAAGGCCGAGGCGUGAUGACGAGGCACUACGGUGCUGAAGCAACAAAUGCCCUGCUUCCAGGAAAAGCCUCUAAGCAUCAGGUAACAUCAAAUCGUACCCCAAACCGACACAGGUGGUCAGGUAGAGAAUACCAAGGCGCUUGAGAGAACUCGGGUGAAGGAACUAGGCAAAAUGGUGCCGUAACUUCGGGAGAAGGCACGCUGAUACGUAGGUGAAGCGACUUGCUCGUGGAGCUGAAAUCAGUCGAAGAUACCAGCUGGCUGUAACUGUUUAUUAAAAACACAGCACUGUGCAAACACGAAAGUGGACGUAUACGGUGUGACGCCUGCCCGGUGCCGGAAGGUUAAUUGAUGGGGUUAGCGCAAGCGAAGCUCUUGAUCGAAGCCCCGGUAAACGGCGGCCGUAACUAUAACGGUCCUAAGGUAGCGAAAUUCCUUGUCGGGUAAGUUCCGACCUGCACGAAUGGCGUAAUGAUGGCCAGGCUGUCUCCACCCGAGACUCAGUGAAAUUGAACUCGCUGUGAAGAUGCAGUGUACCCGCGGCAAGACGGAAAGACCCCGUGAACCUUUACUAUAGCUUGACACUGAACAUUGAGCCUUGAUGUGUAGGAUAGGUGGGAGGCUUUGAAGUGUGGACGCCAGUCUGCAUGGAGCCGACCUUGAAAUACCACCCUUUAAUGUUUGAUGUUCUAACGUGGACCCGUGAUCCGGGUUGCGGACAGUGUCUGGUGGGUAGUUUGACUGGGGCGGUCUCCUCCUAAAGAGUAACGGAGGAGCACGAAGGUUGGCUAAUCCUGGUCGGACAUCAGGAGGUUAGUGCAAUGGCAUAAGCCAGCUUGACUGCGAGCGUGACGGCGCGAGCAGGUGCGAAAGCAGGUCAUAGUGAUCCGGUGGUUCUGAAUGGAAGGGCCAUCGCUCAACGGAUAAAAGGUACUCCGGGGAUAACAGGCUGAUACCGCCCAAGAGUUCAUAUCGACGGCGGUGUUUGGCACCUCGAUGUCGGCUCAUCACAUCCUGGGGCUGAAGUAGGUCCCAAGGGUAUGGCUGUUCGCCAUUUAAAGUGGUACGCGAGCUGGGUUUAGAACGUCGUGAGACAGUUCGGUCCCUAUCUGCCGUGGGCGCUGGAGAACUGAGGGGGGCUGCUCCUAGUACGAGAGGACCGGAGUGGACGCAUCACUGGUGUUCGGGUUGUCAUGCCAAUGGCACUGCCCGGUAGCUAAAUGCGGAAGAGAUAAGUGCUGAAAGCAUCUAAGCACGAAACUUGCCCCGAGAUGAGUUCUCCCUGACCCUUUAAGGGUCCUGAAGGAACGUUGAAGACGACGACGUUGAUAGGCCGGGUGUGUAAGCGCAGCGAUGCGUUGAGCUAACCGGUACUAAUGAACCGUGAGGCUUAACCUU
rnacentral:rRNA from 1 species